rnacentral:rRNA from 1 species
UAAUACUGGAUAGGCAAUUAUUCCUGUAAUGGUUUUUUGUUUAAAUGUUUUUUCGCCUAAGGAUGGGUCUGCGGCCGAUUAGGUAGUUGGUUAGGUAAUGGCUUACCAAGCCUUUGAUCGGUACGGGUUGUGAGAGCAAGAGCCCGGAGAUGGAACCUGAGACAAGGUUCCAGGCCCUACGGGGUGCAGCAGGCGCGAAACCUCCGCAAUGUGAGAAAUCGCGACGGGGGGAUCCCAAGUGCCAUUCUUAACGGGAUGGCUUUUCUUUAGUGUAAAAAGCUUUUGGAAUAAUAGCUGGGCAAGACCGGUGCCAGCCGCCGCGGUAACACCGGCAGCUCUAGUGGUAGCAAUUUUUAUUGGGCCUAAAGCGUCCGUAGCCGGUUUAAUAAGUCUCUGGUGAAAUCCUGUAGCUUAACUGUGGGAAUUGCUGGAGAUACUAUUAGACUUGAGACCGGGAGAGGUUAGAGGUACUCCCAGGGUAGAGGUGAAAUUCUGUAAUCCUGGGAAGACCGCCUGUUGCGAAGGCGUCUAACUGGAACGGUUCUGACGGUGAGGGACGAAAGUUAGGGGCGCGAACCGGAUUAGAUACCCGGGUAUUCCUAACUGUAAACGAUGCGGACUUGGUGU